rnacentral:rRNA from 1 species
UACAGAGAGUGCAAACGUUGUUCGGAAUCACUGGGCUUAAAGCGCACGUAGGCGGCAUUGUAAGUGUCGGGUGAAAUCCCACGGCUCACCCGUGGAACUGCCCGGCAGACUGCAAUGCUUGAGUGUGGUAGGGGAAAGCGGAACUCCUGGUGGAGCGGUGAAAUGCGUAGAUAUCAGGAGGAACACCGGUGGCGAAGGCGGCUUUCUGGUCCACAACUGACGCUGAGGUGCGAAAGCUAGGGGAGCAAACGGG